GACGAACGCUGGCGGCGUGCUUAACACAUGCAAGUCGAACGAAGUGGCGAACGGGUGAGUAACGCGUAAUCAACCUGCCCUUCCGAGGGGGACAAUAGUCGGAAACGACUGCUAAUACCGCAUACUGACGGCGGGGAUUGCGUCUGCUUAGCUAGUUGGAGGGGUAACGGCCCACAAAGGACAUGAUCAGUAGCCGGUCUGAGAGGAUGAACGUCCACAUUUGUACGGGGACACGGACCAGACUCCUACGGGAGGCAGCAGUGGGGAAUCGUCCGCAAUGGACGAAAGUCUGACGGAGCAACGCCGCGUGAGUGAUGACGGCCUUCGGGUUGUAAAGCUCUGUUAAUCGGGACGCGGUACCGGAAUAGAAAGCCACGGCUAACUACGUGCAAGCAGCCGCGGUAAUAC
rnacentral:rRNA from 1 species